rnacentral:rRNA from 1 species
GGAGCGGUKMAAGCGUUAUCCGGAUUCACUGGGUUUAAAGGGUGCGUAGGUGGGCAAGUAAGUCAGUGGUGAAAUCUCCGGGCUUAACCCGGAAACUGCCAUUGAUACUAUUUGUCUUGAAUACUGUGGAGGUCAGCGGAAUAUGUCAUGUAGCGGUGAAAUGCUUAGAUAUGACAUAGAACACCAAUUGCGAAGGCAGCUGGCUACACAAAUAUUGACACUGAGGCACGAAAGCGUGGGGAUCAAACAGGAUUAGAUACCCUGGUAGUCCACGCCCUAAACUAUGGAUACUCGACAUUUGCGAUAAACUGCAAGUGUCUGAGCGAAAGCAUUAAGUAUCCCACCUGGGAAGUACGAUCGCAAGAUUG